GGGCGGGACGCUCGAAGGUCCAGCUAGGGCCAGGAGAGAGGUGGGCGGGGACGGAAAGUGGGCGGGAGUCGGGAUCCGCGGGGCCUGCGGGCUGGCCCGUCCGACUCCCGCCGCCACUGACUGUCGACGGUGUCCAGGCUCGCGGGCCCGAGAAGUGUUCCUCUGAAAGUUUGCCUAUUAUCUCCUAUCAGUCUACUUCAGGAGUGGAAUAUAAAGAGGGUGAGCCAACCUUACCACUAUCUGGAAAACAGUGGUUUGCAAGGCAGUUUUCUAACCUGACAUUUGGGUAAAGUCUUUGUUUUAUUUUUGGCUUCACUGCUUUUCUAGUGAGGAUUAUAUUAGGAAUAACUUUC
rnacentral:lncRNA from 1 species